CCUACGGGCGACAGCAGUGGGGAAUAUUGCGCAAUGGGCGAAAGCCUGACGCAGCGACGCCGCGUGAGGGAUGAAGGUCUUAGGAUCGUAAACCUCUGUCAGCAGGGAAGCACGGUCACUGUGCUAAUCAGCAGUGAAUUGACGGUACCUGCAAAGGAAGCACCGGCUAACUCCGUGCCAGCAGCCGCGGUAAUACGGAGGGUGCGAGCGUUAAUCGGAAUUACUGGGCGUAAAGGGCUCGUAGGUGGUAUGUCAAGUCAAGGGGGAAAUCCCCGCGCUCAACGUGGGAACUGCCGUUGAAACUGGCAAACUGGAGUGUGUGAGAGGAUAGUGGAAUUCCAGGUGUAGGAGUGAAAUCCGUAGAUAUCUGGAGGAACAUCAGUGGCGAAGGCGACAAUCUGGCACAUAACUGACGCUGAGGAGCGAAAGCGUGGGUAGCAAACAGGAUUAGAUACCCGGGUAGUC
rnacentral:rRNA from 1 species